CAAAAAGCAGUGACUAGGCUGCACAUUGUAAGCUGUAAGACUCCCAUUUGUUACUUUUCAUGAGCCUCUGAGGAUAAAUACUUAGUUCACUCAACCCAACCAGUGGUUGUCCUGGGUUUGGUAAUGACCAGCAGGAGGCGAGUGCCACCACACCCAGCUACUCAUUCCAGAGAACCCAGAGAUGCUCCACAGAACCCAGAAGACAUGGGUACCUACCAUCUUAGGAGAGGAGAAAACUUUUCCCCUUUGUGUUCUCAUGGCUUUUGAGCUUUGUGGGGGCAGGAAUUAGUCAGUCGGCUUCUCUGGUGGCUCAGAUGGUGAAGAAUCCGCCUGCAAUGUGGGAGACCAGUGUUCAAUCUCUGGGUUGAGAAGAUCCCCUGGAGGAGGGCAUGGCAAUGCACUCCAGUAUUCUCGCCUGGAGAAUCCCAUGGACAAAGGAGCCUGGUGAGCCACAGUCCAUGGGGUCGCAAACAGUCAGACAGAACCGAGCGACUAAGCACAGCACAUGUGCUGACGUGUCUGUACAGCUGGUAUCUGAUGUACUUGGUAAGGUAAGGUGAAGUCGCUCAGGCGUGUCCGACUCUGACGCUUUACCGUCUGAGCCACCGGGGAAGUCACAGGGAUGUGCUUGGAGUAUGAUCUUAAACUCUCUUCUUCCUUGGUUUCCUGGACACCAGACCUGUUCGAUUCUCCUCUAAAUUCUCUAAUUCUCCCUUUUAUUUUCCUGGCUGGUUCCUCUUUCUUUGCUUGGUCCUUCGAUGGUCUUUACACUCAUUCUUCUUUCUGUCCUUCUUAAUCUUCCUGCUCCCCUGGGUGCUCUUACCUGAUCCCACCACUUCACUCACUCCCUACAAGCAGAUGUCUCCACAGUUUGUGUCGUGACCUGGUCUCAUCCUUCAACCCAACCAGUGGCCAGACAUCUUUACAAGGAUGGCUCAUGAGUAUCUCACGUGAGACUCCUUUUUGCCAGACUUUGAAGUUUUUUGCUUCAAUGCCCAUUUCCUUCAUUUAUUUCAUCAUUAUUUAGCCCUUCUAAUACUUUCUGUAUUUCUAUAAAGAGAGCUGAGUGCCAAAGAAUUGAUGCUUUUGAACUGUGGUGUUGGAUAAGACUCUUGAGAGUUCCUUGGACUGCAAGGAGAUCCAAUCAGUCCAUCCUAAA